CAUUAUGACAUCACUUCUAAAUCCACUGGAACAGGAUUGCUGAUGCUGUGUUUGCACACAGACCUCAAACUCUCUAAGCAUAUCUAGUGUUCUGUGAAGUUAAUUGAAACUGUGUCCAGGCAAUGCCAAACUGACCUGAGAAUCCCACAGAUGUUCCAUCCCAACAUUACUUGCAGCUGUUGGGCAGCCUGCACUGCCCAGUCCUCAGCUGGUGCUGAGCAGCUUAACGCUUUCCCUGUAAAUGGGGUUGAACUGCACCGUGCCAUGGAGGAUGUCACACCACAGGAUAGUGCUUGCUCUGUAAAGUAGUUGGUCCUCACUUGCCUAAGGCUCGCUGAUGUUUUUCUGCAACUAUUUACUGGCUGUUAUAUAAUGGUACAUGCCACACCUGAGCUGU